CACAGUAAAGGCUAAAGGUAGAUGUAGGUUGUUCAUGUUGGAAUUAAACACUACGAUUGCAGGGGAUAUUUCAGCAGGUUGAGUGUCGUUACAUAAUCAUAUGUACCCUCUUCCUUCUAUUCUGUCCUCCACCAUCUUGGGUUAGGCCUCCCUCCUUAGCAUGAUCUCAGUCUACCACAGAACAAACCAAGAAUACAUGCUCCCGCUUCCUGUCAUAUUACAGGGAAGCAAUCCACAGAGAGGAU